GGCAGGUGCAGGGAGCCCUGGUAAUGUGUUGAUGACACAAGUAAGUAAGUUUAUAAUUUGGUUCUGGUUAAGUACUAAUGUGAAUUACUUUCAAAUUGGCAGGACUGUGGGCCCUGUACUGUGUUGAUGACACAAGUAAGUAAGUUUAUAAUUUGGUACUGAUUAAGUACUAAUGUAAAUUACUUUCAGAUUGG
rnacentral:rRNA from 1 species